GAUGAACGCUGGCGGCGUGCCUAAUACAUGCAAGUCGAGCGAACGGACGAGAAGCUUGCUUCUCUGAUGUUAGCGGCGGACGGGUGAGUAACACGUGGAUAACCUACCUAUAAGACUGGGAUAACUUCGGGAAACCGGAGCUAAUACCGGAUAAUAUUUUGAACCGCAUGGUUCAAAAGUGAAAGACGGUCUUGCUGUCACUUAUAGAUGGAUCCGCGCUGCAUUAGCUAGUUGGUAAGGUAACGGCUUACCAAGGCAACGAUGCAUAACCGACCUGAGAGGGUGAUCGGCCACACUGGAACUGAGACACGGUCCAGACUCCUACGGGAGGCAGCAGUAGGGAAUCUUCCGCAAUGGGCGAAAGCCUGACGGAGCAACGCCGCGUGAGUGAUGAAGGUCGUCGGAUCGUAAAACUCUGUUAUUAGGGAAGAACAUAUGUGUAAGUAACUGUGCACAUCUUGACGGUACCUAAUCAGAAAACCACGGCUAACUACGUG
rnacentral:rRNA from 1 species